GGGUCAGUAGGUUGGUCGUGCCACCGGUACGUACUGGUCUCACUGACUCCUCCUUCCUGAAGAACCGUAAUGCCAUUAAUUUGGUGUUGCGGGGAAACAGGACCGUUACUUUGAAAAAAUUAGAGUGUUUAAAGCAAGCUAACGCUUGAAUACAUUAGCAUGGAAUAAUGAAAUAGGACGAUCGAUCCUAUUUUGUUGGUUUCUAGGAUUGACGUA
rnacentral:rRNA from 1 species